UACGUAGGGGGCAAGCGUUGUCCGGAUUUAUUGGGCGUAAAGAGCGUGUAGGCGGCUUUACAGGUCCGUUGUGAAAACUCGAGGCUCAACCUCGAGACGCCGGUGGAAACCGUAAAGCUAGAGUCCGGAAGAGGAGAGUGGAAUUCCUGGUGUAGCGGUGGAAAUGCGCAGAUAUCAGGAAGAACACCCAGUGGCGAAGGCGGCUCUCGUGGGACGGUACUGACGCUGAGAGCGAAAGCGUGGGGAGCAAACAGG
rnacentral:rRNA from 1 species